ACGCGAAGAACCUUACCCANGGCUUGACAUGCAGUAGACCGGUCCAGAAAUGGGCCUUUCCUUCGGGACUGCUGCACAGGUGCUGCAUGGCUGUCGUCAGCUCGUGCCGUGAGGUGUUGGGUUAAGUCCCGCAACGAGCGCAACCCUUAUCAUUAGUUGCCAACAUUUAAGGUGGGAACUCUAAUGAGACUGCCUGGGUUAACCAGGAGGAAGGUGAGGAUGACGUCAAGUCCGCAUGGCCCUUAUGUCUGGGGCUACACACGUGCUACAAUGGUCGGUACAGAAGGCAGCGAAGCCGCGAGGUGAAGCAAAUCCCGAAAACCGGCCUCAGUUCAGAUUGUAGUCUGCAACUCGACUACAUGAAGACGGAAUUGCUAGUAAUGGCGAGUCAGCAACAUCGCCGUGAAUACGUUCCCGGGUCUUGUACACACCG
rnacentral:rRNA from 1 species